CUGGCGGCGUGCUUACACAUGCAAGUCUAACGAGAACGGCUCUAGCUUGCUAGAGUGUCAGCUAAGUGGCGGACGGGUGAGUAAUGUAUAGUUAAUUUGCCCCUUGGAGAGGGAUAACAGUUGGAAACGACUGCUAAUACCUCAUACUCCUUCUGUAUUAAUUACAGUUGGGAAAUGUUUUUUCGCCAAGGGAUCGGGCUAUAUGGUAUCAGGUAGUUGGUGGGGUAAGAGCCUACCAAGCCAAUGACGCCUAGCUGGUCUGAGAGGAUGAUCAGCCACACUGGAACUGAGACACGGUCCAGACUCCUACGGGAGGCAGCAGNGGGGAAUAUUGCACAAUGGAGGAAACUCUGAUGCAGCAACGCCGCGUGGAGGAUGACGCAUUUCGGUGUGUAAACUCCUUUUAUAUAGGAAGAUAAUGACGGUACUAUAUGAAUAAGCACCGGGCUAACUCCGUGGCCAGCAGCCGCGGGUAAUACGGAGGGGNGCAAGCCGUUACUCGGAAUCACUGGGCGU
rnacentral:rRNA from 1 species